CAAUGAAAGCUUGCAUCAAAUUUGUUCAUACUAGAACAUUUGGGCUGGAAGCAAAACUCUCCGUUUCACGCAAUUAUCCUUCUGGACACAACGAUCUGAAUUCGACAAGUAUACUUUGGGUUCAACACCUAUUAGUACAUCCAAGGACUAGGCUUAAUCAACCAGACACUGAGUUCGCACCAAACCGCAACCUAGUCGUAGGUGACUUACACAUGCGAAUUGAUGAGACCCA
rnacentral:lncRNA from 1 species